rnacentral:misc_RNA from 1 species
GAUUGCAGAAAACCUUCUAUUGAAGUAUCUGCCUUUUGCUGAGACAUUUUUCUAGGAGCCAACCUAGCAACCUUUUUAAUCUCUGGCUCGGGAGCUUCAACUGCAACACUUCUCCUAGCUAGUUUAGCAGCCUCCAGUUUCCUUCUAGGUGGAUCAGCAUUCACUGGUUGUGAAUUCAUAGUCCCAGAUAGCUUUUCACGUAAAUCCCGCAUGCCUGACCCCUUUCCAAUUUGUGAUGAUUGUGGGAGAGUCUUCUUUUGAAGCUUCAGUCGAAGAUCUUGACUACUGACUUUGCGAUUUGAAGAGCGUGGUUCAUCCUCCUCAUAGAGAUCAUGUUCCCACUUAUCAUCUUCCCUCUGUCUUUUUCCAGUAAUUUGCCACCGGCGAGUAAAAUCUUCAGUAGAAUUACCAUCAAGACGCUCCUUCACUGACCUCUUCCCUGCAGCCUCCACACGAUCAGCAUACAUGUCUCUGAAAUUGUUAAACCCUAACCCUAACUGAAGUAUUGGAAUUGAUUUGCGCGGCUUGGAAUGGAUGGGAGAGAAAAAUCAAAGCCUUAAACCCUUCAUUGUAGGGGUAGAGGCACACACUAGUAAUGAAAAUGCUCUAAUUCU